GGGAGCAUAGCUCAGCAGGGAGAGCACUUGCCUUACAAGCAAGGGGUCAUCGGUUCGAGCCCGGUUGCUCCCACCA
rnacentral:tRNA from 3 species